rnacentral:lncRNA from 1 species
UCUAGUCUCCCCCUCUUUCGAGGCCAGAUCCGGCCCGCCCAGGCCCGAGUGCUGUAGCCGCCCGUAAGCCGCCACCACCAGCGCCCGACCCCGAGCUCCUCCUCCCGUGCGCCUCCUCCCCUGCCUCCCUAGCGCGUCGUCCGGCGACCGGCGCCGUCGUCGGCGACCACCCAGGUCACGCCGCCGCUCCCCUGCCUUCUCUCUUUCCCCCCUCUCUCUCUCUAAUCUCCUUUUAUCUCCUUCUCUCCAGGAGCUCAGCGCCAGGGCCAUGGAUGCCCAGUCCUCGAGCUCGAGGUUCGAACGCCGCCACGUGACCUCCACCGGCCAGAUCCGGCGCCUCCCUCCGGGAUCUGCGCGCCCUCCACCUCCUCUACCCGAUCCGGGGCCGCCCAACCCGCCAUGGCCUCCACCAUGGAGCUCCUGUAGCUCGUCCCCUGCCUCCUGUUCCUGUGCUCGAGGGAGACGCGCCUCCAGCGCAGUGAGCACAAGGCCCAGCCGUGCCAAGGCCUACCCCGACCACCUCUGCGUCCAGCCGGCAUACCCUACGUGAUGCUCGACCCGGUGCGCCAGCCGCCAACCGACGCCAGAUCGCAGCACCCUUCACCACCGUUCCACCUCAGCUCCUCCUCUCAUCCGUGCCCCCGAGCUCCUCGCUAUGCGCCGCCCUGGAGGGCACGCGCUCGCCAGCCGGUCGUCGUUGCACUCGCAGGCGACCUCGCCGUCCCCUCUGCACUGCCCUCCACCUCAACUGAUGAUUUAGCUGGUUAUAGCUUGUGGAUGUUCUCUGUUGUUUUUUGCACACAAGGUGUUUGUGUGUUUGUCCGAGCCAAUGUUCAUGAGCUUUAUCUUUGCUGUGAGUACUGCAUCUUUCUGUCCAUCUGAUUGUUCCAUGUUAUACUAUCUGUUGAAGAAAAUAGAUCUGUAUUGUUUAUCUUGAUUUUUCUGAUUGUAGAUAAAUGACAUGGCUGAGAAAGUCCCUUCAAUGAAAGGAGGAGUAUAGUCUUGGCCAUGGCUGGGAAGGAAGGAGAACAUGUAAAUUGAGGAUUUUUCAGAGAGAUCGGGACUGCUUGAUUUAUCAGUGGACUGGUGUGCUGGUUGAUUAGGAUCUUUCAGAGAGAUCAUGGUUGCUUGAUUAAUCAGAGAGAAACUGGAUCAGUACUUGGGAGUUGGGACUGGUGUGCUACGGUUGCUUGAUUAAUCAGAGAGAAACUUAUCAUAAUUUAUGAUUUCCUUUUCUUGAUUUGGAGCAAGUGUCUUUGCUGGAGUCAGCGUCCUUGUGGUUGAUCUCAUAUACAUGAGGUAUGGUAUUUCUAUCCUUAAAAGUAUGUAACAAAUCCACAAUUCAUUUUGAGUUAUUCCUGUGUUUUUUUGGGAUCAGGAUUACCCGAGUCAGCUCCUUGUGGUUGAUCUCAUAUACAUGAGGUAUGGUAUUUCUAUCUUUAAAAGUAUGUAAUAAAUCCACAAUUCAUUUUGAGUUAUUCAUGUGUUUCUUCGGAUCAGGAUUAUCCAAUUAUUAAAGCACAUACAUUGGAGUUGAAAUAUAGGCGGGUUGUGUACACGGGGUACAUGUACGUGAUGUAAACAAAACCUAUAUAACUCAGGUACGCCAUACAUCUAGCUUAAUUUUUGCAUGGGCGACAAUUUGAAAAGCUUACUGCAGAUCCGCCAAAGAUAGAUUAUACACAAUAUUAAAAAUCAUCUUGAGAAAUCUUGAAAGUUUGUAAAACUUAAAAUACACACCUCUCUUUACAGGUUCACAAUUUCGAAUUCUAUCUGUCAUAUUGUUUUUUCUAAUACAGCGGCAUCUCUACUACCCUCCUGUAAAGCGAUUGGCCAUUGUUAGGAUAAAAAUAGCAACUACACACGUAUUUAAUCAAUCUUUUGGCCUAUAUCCUUCGGUAUUAUUAUUGCCAAUUUGAGGGGGAAAAGGCAAAACAUGUAAAGCUUUAUAAGUUUUAUAUCCUACCCUAAGCCCAAAUCUUUAUGUUGUUCUUUAUGCAAGACUCCAUAGCACCCCGGCCUUGAUCACAAAUGAGUCGCUGGCUGCCAUAGCACUAUCAGUUCCCUGUGGUGAUCGUCGUUUAUAUUGGUUUGUGGCGCAGGGAAUCGGUACUACAAGAGAGCUUCAAGCUGACGGCCAAUAGAAAUGGAAGACAUGACUUGAUGGAGAAAUCAGGUGCAUAUGAACAACAUAUUGUCUUCCAAUUUUUUUCAUCAUUCAGUAGGACAAUUUCCUAAUUCUGUAUGAAAAGGUUAUUAGUAUGGAUAUAUAUUUAUCGAAUUUAAUUAGCAUAUAUGAGGUUCUUUAUUCAGCCCCCCUUUUGCUCAUGACUACAUAAUUAUUCGGACUUGUAUUCUAGAUAGAUGCUUUUCUAUGAACCUCAUAAAAAAUGUAAUAUGCCUUAGAUCCUAAUUGACUAUUUAUACAUCGGAUAAUUUCAGCUUGCUGUGUCCCAAGAUACCUAUUUUUUUUAACCAAAAACAGGUGAAGUCCUAACAAUCUAUACUCCUGCAUUGUAUCUUCAAAUGUAUAUUGCUUCUGUAGGAUUCGAACAGAUGGUAGUUUGCAGACUGAUGAGUUGGUUCCAGUAACAUCACAUGUCAAGGAUACCUCUCUCCACUUAACAAUCAAUUUUUUUUAAUGAUGAUGUUCAGAGAAGUGCGUUUAAUUUCUGUCGCAGUGGGAUGUUGUGAUUAGUUCAGUUUUGCUUGAUCUAUUUCGAGUUAAUUCCUUUUUGUGAUGUGGUGUUAGGGAACAUACAUUCUGCUCUCUUGUUCUUCAGCUUGGGGUGUCGGCAGCUACCUAUUACUACUAGGGAGUCUUAUUUCGGACGGAAAGAAAAUCCAAUAUUGGUUUUUAUCCAUUUGUAUGCCUGCGUUAGCCUUAUGAAGCACAAAGGAUGUCCCAGUGAUCAGUCACGGAUGAUACUUGGUGUAUUCUUACUAGGCUAAUGGGCAAAUACUCGAAUAACUGAAUCACCUGCAAUCUUUCUUUUAUUGUAACGGCGGUGUUAUAUCUGCAACAACAGUUUGUAAUUUUUUAUCUAUAAUUGUGAAUAUACAUCUUGGUAGCUAUAAUUGAUCAAUCACGGAUGAUACUUGGUGUUUCCUUAUACUAGGCUAAUGGGAAAAAUACUCGAAUAACUGAAUCACCUGUCAACAACAGUUUUUAAAAUUUUCUGUAUAAUUGUGAAUAUACAUCUUGGUAGCUAUAAAUUAUACCCUCUGUUUGGUGUUGGUAAGAACAUAUGCUGAGCUUGUUUUAUGCUCUUGUUCAAGACAUCUCGGAUCUGUUAAACCAUGAAGUCUCUUCUUUCACUGUGGAAAUAUGGGCGGCUGAGCGCCUGUGCUUCUUUGCCAAUCGGUUGGAUGCCUUGAGAAGUGUGCUGCGUUGCCAAUCGGUCGGAUGCCUUGAGAAGGGUCAAAUAGGGUGGACGAUUGAUUUGGAAUUUGGUUUUGUUAACGUCAACAGGAGGAGGAAUGGAGGAGAAGCCAAGCCAAGGAGAGGACGAAGAUUUGAGCCUAGGACACUGGGUGUCGAUAACGGUAAG